UGUGAAUUAGUUAUAAAGUCUAGCCUGCCCACUGAGUUAUUAAAGGGCCGCGGUAAUUUGACCGUGCGAAGGUAGCAUAGUCAGUAGUCUCUUAAUUGGAGGCUUGAAUGAAUGGUUGGACGAGGGAUAAGCUGUCUCCUUUGUGUAUUCUGAAUUUAACUUUUGAGUGAAAAGGCUCAAAUUAUUUAGGGGGACGAUAAGACCCUAUAAAACUUGAUAUAAGUUGGGCUUGACUUGCGAUCUAAGUGAAAAGCGGUUUUACUUGAUUUAUAUUUUGUUGGGGAGACAAAGAUAUAAUAUGUAACUGUCUGUUAAAUUUAAUAGUUAUGAUUAGUGUGUGAUCCUUCUAUGUGGAUUAAAAGAAUAAGUUACUUUAGGGAUAACAGCGUAAUUUUCUUUGAGAGUUCUUAUCGACAAGAGUAGUUGCGACCUCGAUGUUGAAUUAAAGUUUCAGCUAGGUGUAGCCGUUUAGCUGGUAGGUCUGUUCGACCUUUAAAACUUUACAUGAUUUGAGUUCAAACCGGU
rnacentral:rRNA from 1 species